rfam:Guillardia theta CCMP2712 unplaced genomic scaffold GTITHscaffold_1, whole genome shotgun sequence.
GCGUUCGUAGUGUAGUGGUUAGCACAUCAGCCUUCCAAGCUGGUGGCCCGGGUUCGAGUCCCGGCGAUCGCA